ensembl:lncRNA LINC01415 long intergenic non-protein coding RNA 1415
AUUGGCAACCCUUAGGAGGAAAGAGAUGAAUCACAAGGGAUUGUGGAAUCAUUAGAAAUUGAGGAUUAGAACAUCCGACAUUAAAAUGUCUCAGUGCAGCAGAAUUUCCCAGCGACUUCGGUGGCGGGAGAGCAGCACCUCUCAGGCACAGCUGUGCGCAUCCCUCGGGCCCCACCGACCGCACCAUCUGACCGCGGGAAACGAAAUCUGAGCUCAGGAAUUUGAACUGCCCCACGCACGUUCGUUCCCGGAUAAAUCUCCUAGAGGACCGUGAUUUUUCCACUUAGAGAUUAUUUAGGGAGAUGUCCUGGAUGGGACAAGUAGACAAAUGGCGGCCCGAGGAAAAUGCAGGAAACUCUACAUUGUAGACGCUUAAGCACCAACUGUCUGGGCCCCGGGGCAGGGAACGGGAGACAUUAUCCACCGGAAACAUCACACCCCCGGGGCUCCUGGCAUUUUCUACAUCAGUGAAUGUGCCAGCGAAGAAGAGUGUGGGGAAAUUUUCUGAACAUAGAAUUCAUAUUCCUGAAACGUUAAGUCGUGAAGUGGGUGCUUCAGCUGUCCCCCAGCUUUAGGAUUUUAACCCAGCUUUGGUUUUGAUCACCGAGAGUUAUUCCUUAUAAUCAAAUCAGCAAAAGCGUUCAAUUACCUAUUACUGGUUGAGAAAGAUUCCGUUCCCCCAGCUCAUUGUAUCGGUUCUUGGACCCAAGAUGUUAAUUAUCGGCCAGGCAUUCACAGGGGGUUAAUAUGGCCCCCCUCGACACCUUGCCUCGUACCAGAGACACCAAAAGCUGCCGCUGAGGGAUAAUAGAGAAUGGGAAAAGCUGGUCAUGAAAAACCUCUUUUAUUCUUACUUGCAAGCUACCCUUUUGACAUUCUUUUUUUAACACUAAAUGGAGAUUACUGAAUUGAUAACUUUUGGGUUUUCUCUGUCACACUGGGGUUUUUUUCCCCCCGUUUGUUUGUAAGGUUUUUUUGGUUUU